rnacentral:rRNA from 1 species
CCUACGGGCGGCUGCAGUGGGGAAUAUUGCACAAUGGGCGCAAGCCUGAUGCAGCCAUGCCGCGUGUGUGAAGAAGGCCUUCGGGUUGUAAAGCACUUUCAGCGGGGAGGAAGGCGUUAAGGUUAAUAACCUUGUCGAUUGACGUUACCCGCAGAAGAAGCACCGGCUAACUCCGUGCCAGCAGCCGCGGUAAUACGGAGGGUGCAAGCGUUAAUCGGAAUUACUGGGCGUAAAGCGCACGCAGGCGGUCUGUCAAGUCGGAUGUGAAAUCCCCGGGCUCAACCUGGGAACUGCAUUCGAAACUGACAGGCUAGAGUCUUGUAGAGGGGGGUAUAAUUGCAGGUGUAGCGGUGAAAUGCGUAGAGAUCAGGAGGAAUACCGGUGGCGAAGGCGGCCCCCUGGACAAAGACUGACGCUCAGGUGCGAAAGCGUGGGGAGCAAACAGGAUUAGAUACCCCUGUAGUC